UACAGAGGGGGCAAGCGUUACUCGGAAUCACUAGGCGUAAAGCGCAGGUAGGCGGUUGGAUAAGUCUGUUGUGAAAGCUCCCGGCUUAACUGGGAGAGGUCAACGGAAACUAUCCGGCUAGAGUGUGGUAGAGGAAGAUGGAAUUCCCGGUGUAGCGGUGAAAUGCGUAGAUAUCGGGAGGAAUACCUAUGGCGAAAGCAGUCUCUGGACCAUCACUGACGCUGAUCUGCGAAAGCUAGGGGAGCAAACAGG
rnacentral:rRNA from 1 species